GCGUACACGGAGGCCCCAGCCCAGGCACAUGCCACAUGCAACUCCAGCAGCCAAGCUAAGUGCACCAGGAUGAGCCAAAUAUUCCAUCACCAAGGAUUUGGAGAGCAUCUUAAAGGAAAGGAAAAAAGUUAUCACUACAUAGCAGUGAAAAGAUACAGGCUUAUCAGACAAGACACCUUGACAAUAUAUAUAAGCAACAACAUUUUAAAACUAUAUGAGGUCAUCCAGAAAAAAAAGCAAAAUAUAUUUUGGAUCUUAAUGUACUGUUUUUUUCUCCCCCGUGUUUUCUAAAAGAUUGAAGAAUACAGGUAAAGCAGUUUAGGUCAUUUUGAAUCUCAACAUAAGGAUUAUCUAUCUUGUUCUUGGAUACAAUAAAGCUCUGUUGCUCAGUGUUCCCUAAGUCUUGUAGAGGAAGGAAAUACUCCAUUUCACCAAGCUGUCUAAAGGACCCAAGGAAACCAAGAAUAAUUCAUCCCUUCUCUGGAAUAUAGUGCUCAUUUAAUUGUGUCUUCAUAAUCCAGUGGUUCUCAAUGGGGAUGGUACCAACUGCUCAGAGAAGUUUCUGGCUGUCACAACAACGGACCUGGAGUGAGGUGCACUGCUGACAUUUACUAGACCUCAGCAUGGAAUGCCAAAAGUCUUACGAAGUGAAGAUUUGUCCCACUGGAAAUUAUAGAAAUUCCCGUUCCCUCAGCAAGGCUGUUGAUGGUAUGUAUUUGGGUCACCAAUAAAACACCUAUAUCAGUCUACA